CAAAUCCAAAGACACAUACUUACUUUGGCAACACCAUCAAAGCUUUGAGAAGCAAGAAGAAGCUUGGAUAGUGUUUUAGAGUCAAAUAUGACUAGAUGUCAUGUGUAUGAUGGAGUAUAAGAACUGGAAUCGCAGUCGGUUCCCAAAAG
rnacentral:sRNA from 1 species